AUUUUAUAACAAACAGAAGAGGUAGGAAUGCGCGAGAUAGAUUUUGGAGUCUUUAAAUCACCAUGUGAGAGAUGAUCUCAAAUGAAAAAUGGUUGAGAUAAAUCUAGAAGUUGUUACACAUUAAAAUAAUAUAUUUGAAUAUUAAAAUAGAGAAAAGUAAAAAGGAACCUUUUAAUUGGUUUUGGGUUUGUAUGGACUGUUCAGUACAGUGCCAUCUUUUGGAGUUACAAAAGAUAAAGGAUACAAGCAAUCUUCAACCUCAGAAAAUUGAAAAUGAAUAGCUAGAUUAGUACAAUAAAUGUGAAGAAAGCAUAUCAAGUGUAUAUGCUCUAUGCAAGUACAUCAUGCCAAUGAGCAAUCUAAAACCUGUAAAUGGAAAUAUGUAUUCUCACUGUGAAAUCAACUUGGCUUGCUGUUUCAUGCACAAGAUGAAUAUGGUGGCAUUUAGUAUUUUACCAUAUUAUGGAAAAUGAUAGAAAGUCUGGAAACUUUAUAGUUAGACAAGAUCUAUAGUCUAAAGCAUAAAAUAAACGAAUUAACUGAACCAUUGUAUGUGUAAUUAAAUUAUAAUUUUUUCUUUUUGUUGAAUGAAAGCAUUGUUCUUUGUUCAUAAAGUAAACUCUACUGCAUGAUUCUGACAAUGAGAGCUGAAUAUGAGAACUGGAGGGAGG
rnacentral:misc_RNA from 1 species